rnacentral:rRNA from 1 species
GAGCUGUAAGUAAGCUUUGAUCCAGAGAUUUCCGAAUGGGGAAACCCAGCAUGAGUUAUGUCAUGUUAUCGAUAUGUGAAUACAUAGCAUAUCAGAAGGCACACCCGGAGAACUGAAACAUCUUAGUACCCGGAGGAAGAGAAAGAAAAUUCGAUUCCCUUAGUAGCGGCGAGCGAAACGGGAAGAGCCCAAACCAACAAGCUUGCUUGUUGGGGUUGUAGGACACUCUAUACGGAGUUACAAAGGACGACAUUAGACGAAUCAUCUGGAAAGAUGAAUCAAAGAAGGUAAUAAUCCUGUAGUCGAAAAUGUUGUCUCUCUUGAGUGGAUCCUGAGUACGACGGAGC